AGCCCCAUGGCGUAGUGGUUUAAGUGUUGGACUAUGACUCCGAAGACCAAGGUUUGAAUCCCUGCUCAGCCA